GGUAUCUAUCUUCUCUAGGGUUUUCAAUCUAGAGUUUUUUCUAAAGCUGUCGGUCUUUCUUGAGAUCUGGAGGAGAAUUUCCUUAGUUUUCUAAGGGUUUUGUGGUCUUUAUAGGUUGAAUUUGAAUUCUAAGAUUUUCUUUUCUUUGGGAUUUUUCCUAAAUUUUUAGGAAUUUUCUAAGGAUUUUUCCUAUUUUUGGUAUUUUUUUUGGGUAAUUUUCCUAAGUUCGAGAAUUUCUAAAGUUUUUAUUUUGUCUAUUUUUCUCUCCUUUUUUGGGUUAGGGAGAUGGGGGUAUUUAGAAGAUUCAAUCAGUGAUUUUUCCUAAAUUUUUUGGCUUUUUUUUUGGAAUUUUU
rnacentral:lncRNA from 1 species